GUCGCCCACAAGAGCGUCUCCUGUCUCAGUGGGGGGCUGCGCCGGUCACACACUGAGGCUUUUAUAGAUGUCUUGUGUCGGUACCACAUAAAGCCAGUUAAGAUCGAAGUGGAGGAGCAGGGUGGAAUGGUGACAUUUACUUUUGUGCACAGGAAGAUGUUAUCAGCAGUGUUGGCUGGCUGUAGAUUUGUGUUUUCUCCUCUCACUCACUGAGCACAAUCUCCAUCUACCAGGUCAAAGAGCCUGCGGCAUCUCAGUGCCACCUGGCCAAGGUCCCUGUGUUCCUCAUUUGUCCCGGAGCAAGAGAUGAGGCCAGAUCUGCAGGAGCAGCACCUUGUCACACUCUUGCCCCGAGCAUCAUCAUGAGUCACGGGUGCAGCACAGGAGAGCAGCCAGGUGCUUCGGCACCUCACGUUUGAGCUUUGCAGCAAGGCCUGAAGCACUGAGUCCUGUUCUCCAGAGCCUACGGAAAACACGGAGCUGGAGAGUGUGGGGGCUGCAGUGGGUCCCCACCAUGCACAUCUUUCCAUCCACCAUGCACAGAGGCUGGCUCUAUGUUCCCUAUGCUCAUGCUCUAGCCUCUCACUUCUACCAGGAGAUUUAAAAAUUUUUAUCUGCAUUGAUUUCAUUGUAGGCACAAAUGCUUAGACACUCUAGCAAGCAGCUGGUGGAGGACCGAGACAGAGGCCAUUUAUCUGCCUGUGUAUUUUUAAGUGCCUAUGUAUGUGUCAUACUGAGGACUAAACUCAGAGCCUAGGCACUAAGCCAUACCCACACCUAGUUUUUAAUUUUUUACUUUGAGAUGGAGUCUCACUGAGUUGCACUUGCUGGGUUCCAACUUUCAAUUCUCUUGCCUCAGCCUCCCAAAGUACUGGGAUUGUAGUACUCAGGUAGUCCUCCAGGUAGUAUCACUGCGCCUAGCUGAGCCUGGGCUCUCUGUGUCAUUCAGUAGAGGCCUCCACUUGCUGUGGUCCAGCUGGAGGAUUUCAGUGUUCCCAUCUACAAGAUUUGACUCUAUUCAACCUUAUUAUUUAAAACCCAGAAACUGGUUGAAAAAUUCCCACUCACUACCUGGUGGGGGGAUGCUUAGAUGGGGUCCCAUCCUGGUGACUGUAAUCAGGAAACAAGCAAAGUCCAUUUUCCAUGCUAGUCCUCUCAAGUGUCCUGAUCCCCAUCUCUGCUCUGCCUUUCUGGUGUCAAAUGUGCCCUCAUCUUCUGUCCCUGAAGCUGUUAAGGGCACGCACAGUUCAGAACCUGUAUCAUGGGAACCUCAUCAGCCUUAAGAUGAGACAAGCAUUCGUGCUCCCGAGAACGACCUCCCGGGAGGAGCAGGUAGAGAGCAAAGCUGUGAAGAAGGACAUGUGAAAAGAUGACCCAGAAUCUGCCACUGCAUAGGCCACAGGAUGAUCUAGAACUGAGUAGUAGAGGCAAGGUCUCUCCAGAUGGUCCUUCUAGGUCCUCCAGGCCUCUGGGGUCCUGACCACCAAUCACUCUCAACCAUUAUAACAUUACUCUCAACACCAAUCACUCUCAACCAUUAUAACACUCUCAAUCAUUAUGACAAAUAAUCUUCCAACCUGCUUAUAAGCUGUGUGGUUUAUACUACAUGGUCAUCAGCAUAGCCCAACUUUGUUCUCUGGUUACAAAUAUGCUGUCUACUUCCUACCCCAUUUCCCCGCAAGAAUCCAUGAGAAUCCAUUAAACAAAUGUGAACUUUGGAGUAGGAUGACCUCAGACAAUGUGUUACGGGGUCAGGCUUUGAGUUUCUCUGCUCCCAAAGGUGUGGUGGUUCCUUGUGCCCCCUACUGCAUACACCUGUGUUUAGAAUUCCGGGUCUCCCCCAACCCCAAAGCAGCCAGCUAGCCUCUGAUGCCAGAUCUCCCACCUGGCACUGUGUCCCAGAGGGAACGUGACAGCCACACUCCUUCAGGAGUGUUUGCAAACGGAGAGCCUGGUUGGUGACUUUAGUUUGAAAAUUUUGUAGUACCGAAGGCCAAGACUCAUGAUGCUUAACUUUAGAGUUUUCUAGUUUAAAAAGAUGAGAAUG